rnacentral:lncRNA from 1 species
CUGACAUUCCAUGGUGACUAAUUUUUGUUUUUUCCAUUUACUUCCCAGGAGAAAGAAUAUUAAAUACACAGUUCCACAGGAAAACUUGGAGACUGAUGUCUCUAACUCCUGUUUCUAUUUAUGGACUAAGAGGAUUUAAUGGACUAUAAGACCUUUCCGUGUGAGGAACCAAGCUGUGCUCCUGUAGAAUGUCAACUCCUUCAAUGAGCAGAGAAGCAAACGGAAGGCUGAUUAACUGGAAAUUGCCUCUUUUCAGAAAGAAAAGCAAAGGGUUUCCCUGGAAUAGUUGGAAGAAAGGAAGCAACAAACUGAAAAAAAAGUAA